UGCAAGUCGAGCGAGAGGGGGUAGCAAUACCCUAGUAAAGCGGCGCACGGGUGAGUAACACGUGGAUAACCUGCCUCGAAGUGGGGAAUAACCCCGGGAAACCGGAGCUAAUACCGCAUAAUCUGACGAGAUCUGUGGAUUUUGUCAGCAAAGGAGCAAUUCGCUUUGAGAGGGGUCCGCGGCUGAUUAGCUAGUUGGUGAGGUAAUGGCUCACCAAGGCCACGAUCAGUAGCCGGUCUGAGAGGACGGUCGGCCACACUGGAACUGAGACACGGUCCAGACUCCUACGGGAGGCAGCAGUGGGGAAUUUUUCGCAAUGGGGGCAACCCUGACGAAGCAACGCCGCGUGGGUGAUGAAGUAUUUCGGUACGUAAAACCCUUUCGACGGGGACGAAACCGCAAGGUUGACGGUACCCGUAGAAGAAGCCCCGGCUAACUCCGUGCCAGCAGCCGCGGUAAUACGGGGGGGGCAAGCGUUGUUCGGAAUUACUGGGCGUAAAGGGCGCGUAGGCGGUUUGCUAAGUUGGAUGUGAAAACUCUGGGCUUAACCCAGAGCCUGCAUCCAAAACUGGCAAACUUGAGUACUGGAGGGGAAAGCGGAAUUCCUGGUGUAGCGGUGAAAUGCGUAGAUAUCAUGAGGAACACCGGUGGCGAAUGCGGCUUUCUGGACAGUAACUGACGCUGAGGCGCGAAAGCUAGGGGAGCAAACAGGAUUAGAUACCCUGGUAGUCCUAGCCCUAAACGAUGGAUACUUGGUGUGAGGGGGAUUGAUCCCCUUCGUGCCGUAGCUAACGCAAUAAGUAUCCCGCCUGGGGAGUACGGUCGCAAGGCUG
rnacentral:rRNA from 1 species